UAUAAGCUUCAAGGACAAGGAGUUUGUCACUACUUGCUGGAGGAUUUAAUCUUAAAGAAUGACUCUUUCUCCUGGCUUCCAUCAUGCUCUAGUUGACAAAAAAGCCUGCAAAGUUAUUGUAAUCAUUAGAUACCUUUGUUUGUUGGCUUAAGUGCAGGAAAUUGUAUUAAUGUUUUUGUCACCACAAGAGUGAUUCCACGGAGGGCUCUGAGAAACGUCAGAGCUUAGGCAGGAAGAAUGGAAGGUGACACACAAAAACAGAGCACCCAUUUCUAGAUUGAUUCAACAGGACUGGAACUCUUCGUGAUUCAUAAGAGCGUUUGAUGUUCUAAACAAUUAACUUUUUUUUCCCCUUAUGGAAACGGACAUAAGCUUUAAAAAGGACAGACUCACUUCUACACAGUCUCCAAAGGAAUGCUCUGGUCAUCAGGGAUUGGCAUUCCAGAAGUUCUGUCCUGGAUGUUGUGUUGCAAAGGCAAAGGGAUUACUGGAAACUGGUUUUGCUGCCAACAUCAGUAUCCUUUGGCAGGUUGGAGCGUGUGGAGUGAGUGUUCAUGAGGAAACUAAUAUUGCAGUACCUAACCCUAAAGGGUCAUGAUGGGGAUCAAGAGAGAAAAUUAAUGCCAAGCACAUUAAAAGUGUGUAUAAAAGUGAGUACUAUUUUUAUUAUUUUUUCAAAUGCUCAAAUGUAGAUGCUUAAGGUCUCUCUAGGUACAAAGGGAGUUGGAGGCACACAAUAGAGACA
rnacentral:lncRNA from 1 species